GAUGAACGCUGGCGGCGUGCCUAAUACAUGCAAGUCGAGCGAACAGACGAGGAGCUUGCUCCUCUGACGUUAGCGGCGGACGGGUGAGUAACACGUGGAUAACCUACCUAUAAGACUGGGAUAACUUCGGGAAACCGGAGCUAAUACCGGAUAAUAUAUUGAACCGCAUGGUUCAAUAGUGAAAGACGGUUUUGCUGUCACUUAUAGAUGUAUCCGCGCCGCAUUAGCUAGUUGGUAAGGUAACGGCUUACCAAGGCAACGAUGCGUAGCCGACCUGAGAGGGUGAUCGGCCACACUGGAACUGAGACACGGUCCAGACUCCAACGGGAGGCAGCAGUAGGGAAUCUUCAGCAAUGGGCGAAAGCUUGACGGAGCAAAGCAGCGUGAGUGAUGAAGGUAUUCGGAUCGUAAAACUCUGUUAUUAGGGAAGAACAAAUGUGUAAGUAACUAUGCACGUCUUGAAGGUACCUAAUCAGAAAGCCACGGCUAACUACGUG
rnacentral:rRNA from 1 species